ACGCCACAACUGCUAUCCGACUCCACUCGGAGCUUCGAAACAGCUAGAGCAAUUUGUGAUGAUCUAGGCGAAUCUCUAUUCACAGGUGUUCACUGGUUCUACGAGGGUCGUUUUGGAGCGGAGUUCGACGGAUUGUUUGUUUGGACUGGUUUUCAACGCGUUGGACGAUCAGAUGAGUAUCGGGAUGAAACAGGUGAACAGUUUCUGCAAACAGGCUGUGCUGCAGUUUGGGCUGCUACCGAACCAUCUAGAGCAUCGUACGAAACACAAGUUCUGUUCAGCUUAAGUCUGAGUACGAACGAUGGCCUGUACGAUAAGAGUCCGGGGCAAGAAGAAGCAAGAGUUACAUGUGAUCAAUGGAAUCUUGAAGAAACCUCGACAUGUGAAAGUGAUUACUUCUCGUUGAUAUAAACAAAGGAGAGAAAACUUAGAGAUGACCGAGAACAAUCUUUGUUUUCAACCAGAUUUAGUUUUAAACCAGAUUGUGUAGAAUAAGUUUCGUUCCAAAAAGCUA